CUAUCCAUUUUCUUUGUUUUGCCUCUUCUGUGGCAUGUUUCCUUUAAGUUACUGCAUCUAUGUGCUCAGCUAGGUGAAACAACUGAUUGAAGUAUCAAGUCAAAAAAAGUAAAGUAGUCUCGAUUAACCGCUUCCCCUAUAUGGUCCAGGAAUCUAAAAGAUAAUCCUUACACGUAUUGGAAGUACCAGCAAAAUGCUAGCGAAAUAUUUAUAAUUGCUGUGAAGGAAAAAUAACAGGAGAAUAAGUUUUACGUAAAGUGACUGACUUGAUAUCAUCUAUGGGUUUGAAUGUCAUGUUGGAGACACCAAUAUGAAGUACUCUUCUAGCGCUCCUCUCUAGUCUCUACUAUAUUAGAAAGGGCAGUUGGGGUACGAACAUGGACGAACAAGGGCAUAUUUGUGGUUUUAGAUAUUUUAAAGGGCAAAUUGGUGUUUUUGUGGAACCUUCUCACUUCCUCUCUUCCUUGUAGAGUUUUAAACAUGGAGAUUACCAACUGCGAUUAUAUUGAUAACGGGACAACUCGGUCAGGGUCCAUUGAUGUCAUCCCUGAUCCCCACUCUAUUCACACCUCCUUUACUCCCCAGGUUUCAUUCCUUUAACUUUUGAUGAAAUUUGGGAUUUUUGGGUUAUAGAUUUGAUUUACUUUUUGCUAUCUUUUGGUCGCAACAAAUUAACCUUUGCAGAACUUAUAUUCCUUUUGUUUGACGUUCAAUUGGUGCGCGAGAAUUUUCAGCUUAGGUGCACUCACUGCACUCAGCAUAUGAAAUGCAAUCUGGAAAAAAGUGCAUGAAAAAGGGAAGAACUUUGAUGCAUCCAAGGUGCUUGACAAUAUGCCUAAAACAACUUAAACAUUUUUUCCCAUUUUUAGCUAAAAUGAUGUUAUUUUCUCCUCCUAAUUUGUAGGAGCUUUAAUGGUGAUAACGCUGAAAAUAAACUAACGUGUGAUUAAUUAACAAGACUGAUUGUUGAAGGAGGAAGUUUUGUGUGAGGCUUAGAAGAAAAACCAUUUGCUCGAUUUGCAAUUACUACUUGAGUGGGUUGGUUUCUGUUUCUGUUGUGGAAGUCAUUUGCAGGUCCAGUGUAUGAAUUAAAGAUCUAUUUUUACUGGACAGAGAGAAAAGGUUUAACAAUCCUUCACUUUGAAUUUUGUUGCAACUACAUCAUCAAAAAGAAGUUCUAUUGAAAGAAAAAAGCUCGAUACUUCCUCCUUUCAAAUUCGGGAACUUUCAGAGAACAAACCCCUCUCCUUUUGGGUCAAUUUAAUGGAUCUUUAGUUCAUUCAAUUUGCCUUGGAAGAUACUAGUUAUAUGGUUUAUGCAAAAGUUUGAAGGCAGGAUUGGGAACAUUAUCAAAUCACAAUUAGGGGUGAGGUGAUGUUUGCUUAGCAAUAAAUAGAUGCUUUCAUAACGAGUUGGACGCUUAUUGUCAUACAUCAUGUUCUCCAAGGAGUUCUACCUCCAUAAAUGGGAUGAAUUGGAGUGAUCUUUUGAAAAACUAGGCGGCGUCCUGAUGGUGAGGUACAAACGAGCCUCUCCUGACGACCCUGCAACCAAAAUGAAGGUUUUGAUGCUAUGAUUUCCAGAAGCAUGAUACAAUAUUCAGUUCUCAUUAGCUAAUCAAUAGAUUGUAGACAAACUUUGUAAAUAUUCGAUGCGACUUGUGGUUACUCCCUUAUUUAAGUGAGCUUUUUUUCUUUGUA